UGUUUAUGUGCAGAGGCAUCAAUUUUAUCUCUCUCCAUCCAUUUUAUCUCUCUCUCCCUUACCCUGAACAAAACAACUGAUCGAUCCACUAAAGCGGUUCUCAAAUUUAGGUCAUUUCAUCAUCAGAUCUAAGAUGGGCGGAACAAAGGCUUUGUAAGGGGGUGUGGAGGCCCUUGUAAUUUUUGUUGAAGGCCCCUUAGAAGUCAUGGUCAUGGAAAUAGCAAAAUUGAGUUAUCAUCGCAAUUUCAAUCGCAAUCGUAACUCUUUUUAUUUUCAUUGUACAUAUGGUACUUCGCGUCGGCAUUGCUUUGUGAGUUGGUUCGAUUCCCGGUAGUUCAUCUCUAGUAUCCCACACUAUGAUUCGAUUUUUAGUUCACUAAAUUUUGGUUCGUGUGAUUUCACUAAUUUCUGGUUCUUGUAUUUUGGAUCGAUUGUAGUUGUUUUGUUUCCCAUUUUAUAUUCUCAGUGCCCCAAAAUCAGUUUAUUUUUCUUUCAGUUCCAGUAGUAGACAUGGCGGAGAAAUGACUAGGACUCACAAUAAUGGAUUGAGAUUUCAAUACUGCCUUUUUUUGUUUCUAGUUUCUUGAUUUUUAUACUGGUUUGGUGAUUUUGGUUAUGGAAGAUUUACAAUUUAUUCCUAAUAGUUAGUGUAUUACUUUGUUCAUUGAUAUUCAUUCUUAAUAGUUAGUGUGUUCGUAAAAUAUAUGGUUUCUAUUUGGAAUAUAAGCAAAUUGUUUUAGAUAUAAUCCGUUUUAAUUCCUUUUGUUUAUCGUCGAAGGUAUAUAACAUAUUACUAGUUAAGAAUGUUUGAUAGGGGGUGCAAAGUAGCCGAGCUUGUCUCGUUGUUAGUUUUUCAAGCUUGAGCUCCGUUCAUUUAUUAUUUGUCAAUUAAUUUUUAUUUUUGUAUAAGAGUAUUUUAUAAUUUUUUUUGUGUGUGUAUAUAUUUAUAUAUUAAUUUAGUUAUUUUAUCAUAAUUUUAUAAUAUUUGUUAUAAUUAUGUAAAUAUAUUUAGUAUAUUAAAUGGACACAUUUAGGCUCACAAGCCGGUUUGAGCUCGAUAAGGGAAGCUUGGGUUCAACUUGUUUACCAAACAUGUUCAUUUUUAGGCUCGUUUAAGCUUGACUUGUUUCAAGUUUUUUUCAAGCCGAUCUCGAGUAACUCGUUUACACCACUAAUGCUUGACAGUAUUUUGUAGAAGUUGCAUUUGACAAUGUAGUUGGUAAGUAAUAUUGUGAGUUAGAUUUUGCUAUGAUUCAAUAUAUUUUGACCAAUCUGCUCCGACCUGAGGUUUAGUUAUAUGUUUGUAUUCAAAGAUUUAUAACUGAGUAGUGAGAAACAUGGCAUGUUUAUAGAUUCUAAGUUUUGGUUGCCCUUUUCAGAUUCUAAUCUUAUAUGUUAAAUAUUAAAGAUGCUUUUGGUAGAUGAAGAAAGGAGGUUGUAGGAGAUACAAAAAAAGCUGAAGAUCUUGAGUUUUUUUAGAAGACAUUGGGUGUUGGCAUUUUUGGACAUGAAAGCAUAUACUUGCUAUUAUCUCGAUUCAAUAAGGAAUAACACAAUUAAUCCAGUGUUGAGUGUCCAUAUUAGACGAGAGGUACUGUAUGUGGCUAUUAUGUGUUGAAGUUCAUGAAAAAGGUGGUUGAAGAAGGAAUUGAAAUACUUGCCAAUGACAAUGUUGGGGGAGGCAAAGUGGUAUACAUGGAUGAGGAUAUUGAUGGAAUACGUGAAGGGUGUUCGGGUUAUGGGGCAACGUUUGUUUUUAAGUGACUAUUUAAGAUGUCCAAGUAUGUACACCAAACAAUAUUUUUUGUUACCUUAACAUAUUUGAAUUGUAUUUGACAUAUGACUAUGAAAUGAAUUGUUUUGGUAUAUGUGUAUUUUGUUAUGAAAUUGAUUUAUAUAUUGUUUUGGUUUUAUAAAGAAAAUUGGAAAUUCUAAAAAAAAUUAAACAAUGAAAACCAUGACACGCAAUGUGUGUCAUUAAAAUGUGUCAUAAACGCCUGUCAUUAAGACGUGUCAUUAAAAUGUGUCAUUAAAGCGUGUCAUAAAGUUGUGUCAUUAAAGUGUGUCAUUAAGGUGUGUCAUAGAAGAAUGACACACAAGUGCAUGUCAUCUUUAAUUAAUGACAGGGGCUUCCUUGACACUCUUUUGUGUGUCAUAUCUACACUUUAAUGACGCGCAAUGCGUGUCAUUGAAGGUUUAUUUUCUAGUAGUGGGAGGUAAGGAUCGACCAUCAGCUAACCGAUGAUGUUAGAAUGGGCUACUACAAAUUGUGCUUUUAUAAGAAAGAAUUUCUUCUUCCGGAAGACGUGUAUGAUAGGUUAGUGCUUGGUAUGAAUGGUUCUAACCGUAGAGAUUGCUGGUUAGAUUAAGAAGUGUAAGCUCAGCAUAGCUAAGGAAGAGUUUGAUAAAUCGGAUAAGUACCUGAAAGCUUUGGAGGGUUUUGGCAUGAAAGAUGGGUUAUUACACGAUAUGUUAAUCACACUUGAAACGCUUGUGCUUGAUUCAGAAGGUGCAUUAACAUAAAGCAGUAAAUGGAGGCAACACAUGAACAUAAACGCAUAAAGAUGAGUUAAUGAAAGGAAAUGGCAUGCGUAAGGAGUUGGAAGGAAGUGCUAAAAACUGUCAGGAGAUUUCGGGUAUUUUAAAGCAGAAAUUUGAGAUGCAAGAACUUAGGUUCAAGAAGGUGGUGAAUGCACCAUGGUAAGCUCUAUCAAUUCUCACAAAGGAGUUUUUCCAAAAUAAAGUAAGCUGUAAAACAAAAUGUGGUUCACUA